rnacentral:rRNA from 1 species
UACAGAGGGGGCAAGCGUUGUUCGGAAUUACUGGGCGUAAAGGGCGCGUAGGCGGCCUGUUAAGUCGAACGUGAAAUCCCUGGGCUCAACCCGGGAACUGCGUCCGAUACUGGCAGGCUUGAAUUCGGGAGAGGGAUGUGGAAUUCCAGGUGUAGCGGUGAAAUGCGUAGAUAUCAGGAGGAACACCAAUUGCGAAGGCAGCUCGCUGGGACGUUACUGACGCUGAGACGCGAAAGCGUGGGGAGCGAACAGG